rnacentral:rRNA from 1 species
GACGAACGCUGGCGGCGUGCUUAACACAUGCAAGUCGAGCGGUAAGGCCCUUCGGGGUACGACGAGCGGCGAACGGGUGAGUAACACGUGGGUGACCUGCCUCUAGCUCUGGGAUAAGCCUGGGAAACUGGGUCUAAUACCGGAUAUGACUCCACGGCGCAUGUUGUGGGGUGGAAAGCCUUGUGUGGCUAGAGAUGGGCCCGCGGCCUAUCAGCUUGUUGGUGGGGUGAUGGCCACCAAGGCGACGACGGUAGCCGGCCUGAGAGGGCGACCGGCCACACUGGGACUGAGACACGGCCCAGACUCCUACGGGAGGCAGCAGUGGGGAAUCUUGCGCAAUGGGCGAAAGCCUGACGCAGCGACGCCGCGUGAGGGAUGACGGCCU